GCCUACGGGGGGCAGCAGUAGGGAAUCUUCCACAAUGGGCGAAAGCCUGAUGGAGCAACGCCGCGUGGAUGAAGAAGGUCUUCGGAUCGUAAAACCCUGUUGUUAGAGAAGAAAGUGCGUGAGAGUAACUGUUCACGUUUCGACGGUAUCUAACCAGAAAGCCACGGCUAACUACGUGCCAGCAGCCGCGGUAAUACGUAGGUGGCAAGCGUUAUCCGGAUUUAUUGGGCGUAAAGGGAACGCAGGCGGUCUUUUAAGUCUGAUGUGAAAGCCUUCGGCUUAACCGGAGUAGUGCAUUGGAAACU
rnacentral:rRNA from 1 species